GCUGCCUGGCUCGCAGCGAGGAUCGUCCCGCCGCUGCUUCGUCCGCUUGCCCUGCCUCGCUCGUGCCGCCGCUUGCGCCGCCCGUGCCAGUCGGAGCCCCGCGACCCCUGAGCCGCCCCGGAGGGUUCAUGCAGCUGCAAUCCCCGCGAGCGCCAUGGCUAGACCAUUGCAGGACCGGAACCUCGUCGAGCCGACAGCCACUGUGUCCCGGAGCCCAACCUUCCCUGUGGGGGGGACGCUGGCCCUGCCGCCCGCCGUCUGCCGCCCGCCGCUCGCCUUGCCACCCGGGCUAAACUGCCUCUAUCGUUGCGGGCGGGCGCUGGAGCCUCCCGGGAGCGUCCGUGGUGAGUGGUGUCGCUUCCCGCGUCCGCCAGGAUAGCUGAUGAUCCCGUCGCCGCGCCUCGGCGAAUUUGUCCCAAGCGUUGCCUGAAGCGCGGCCCGACUGCUCUGCUUUGCUUCCACGGCUGCCCCGACGUGGCUGGAGCUGGUGCCGUGCUGCGCCUCUAGCGGAGCUUUUUUUCUGGGAAACCUCGCCUCGGCCCCAUCCUGGAGCCCAGCCCUCCAGGAAAGCCGCACCACCACCACCAGGCCAGUCCUCUGGAGCCCGAGGCUGGAGAGGGUGGGAGCAGCGGCCAAAGGGGGCGGUGCCCGCAGCUUCCACUAGGAUCCUGCCAGCCUCCUAGGCCCCUUGCUGACACCGGGACAGGCAGCGCCCCUGCCCUGCUGGCAUGGGGAUCCCUCCUGCCUGCCCUUAGGAUCUCAAGCCCCCAGCAGCACUGACCUGAAAUGCCCCUGCUAAGCUGCAGCAGCCCCAGUUGCCAAGGAGAUAGGAAGCCACACUGGAGCUGCUCCCAUGCCUCCUGCUGCUGAGCCCUGUCCCAACCUGCCAGAAGGCACCCUUGCCCGCCUCACCUCCCUUUCCUUCUCCACAGUGAGCAUGCAGCCAACAGCAUCCUGCACCCAAGAGGAAGCCCCCAAGGAGCCAGAGCAAAGUGCAGGGGGUCCUAAUGGGCACCUCCCAAGAACCCCACACAACCUGGAGCAGGCCAUCGGGGCUCGGCUUCGCCACAUGGGAGACCGUUUCCAUCAAGACCACGAGCACAGGGAACGCAGGCCUCAAGGUGCCCUCUGGGCCCACUUGUACCAUUUCGUCUUCCAUCUACUGGGUAUCUUGGACAACUUACCUGCCAGGGGGUGACAAACAAGCCUUGGAGUGAAGAGCCAUCUACUGAGCUGCUUUGGGACUUCUCUUCCUGCUGGCCAGGAGAACAGCAGUCUCAGUGGAAGAACAGAUGCCCGCGAACAGCCGGCCUCGAGCCCAUCAUGAUGGGCAAACAAUGCCCUGCUCCAAGUUGCCGAGCGCCAUGGCACCCUUUUGCCCCAGCCCAGCAGUGCCUUAUGGGGAGCUGCACAGAUGGGUGGGGGCGAGACAAGUUAGCACUAUGUGAGUGUGUUUCACUGAACCUGUACAUGCGGGUUGGGGGACAACAGAAUUGCACUUGCCACCUCGACUCGAGGGACAGCCUACAAUGUCCACUGUCAAUAGGGCCUGGACUUGUAUACAGAUAUGUGGGGUGGGGGAGGGGCGGCGAGAGAAAACCUGCACAUUAGUGCAGCUGCUGCUGUGUGUAUAUAGACGGUCUUCAUGCCUGUACAUAGAAUACAAUUGGGUGCUACCUGUACAUACCUGAGGGGCUGGUUGUCCGUAUCUUGUGAAGAGGUGGAAAUUUUUUUGUAUAUUUCCUUUUCAAUAAAACUGGAUCAAAGCAGAA
rnacentral:lncRNA from 1 species